UACAGAGGUCUCAAGCGUUGUUCGGAAUUACUGGGCGUAAAGGGCGCGUAGGCGGCCAGCACAAGUCAGUUGUGAAAUCUCCGAGCUUAACUCGGAACGGUCAACUGAUACUGUGCGGCUAGAGUGCAGAAGGGGCAACUGGAAUUCUCGGUGUAGCGGUGAAAUGCGUAGAUAUCGAGAGGAACACCUGCGGCGAAGGCGGGUUGCUGGGCUGACACUGACGCUGAUGCGCGAAAGCCAGGGGAGCGAACGGG
rnacentral:rRNA from 1 species